UACGUAGGCAGCGAGCGUUGUUCGGAGUUACUGGGCGUAAAGAGUGCGUAGGCGGUGUUCCAAGUCUGUUGUGAAAUCUCCCGGCUCAACUGGGAGGGUGCGGCGGAAACUGGGACGCGUGGAGUACGGGAGAGGUAAGCGGAAUUCCUGGUGUAGCGGUGAAAUGCGUAGAUAUCGGAAGGAACGCCGGUGGCGAAAGCGGUCCGCUGGCCCUCUACUGACGCUGAGGCGCGAAAGCCAGGGGAGCAAACGGG
rnacentral:rRNA from 1 species